GGCCCUGUAGACUCAGUCGGUAGAGCAACGGAUUGAAGGCUCCGUGUGUCGUCAGUUCGAUUCUGACUGGGGCCACCA
rnacentral:tRNA from 1 species